UACGUAGGGGGCAAGCGUUGUCCGGAAUCAUUGGGCGUAAAGAGCGCGUAGGCGGCCCUGUAAGUCCGCUGUGAAAGUCAAGGGCUCAACCCUUGGAUGCCGGUGGAUACUGCAGGGCUAGAGUUCGGAAGAGGCGAGUGGAAUUCCUGGUGUAGCGGUGAAAUGCGCAGAUAUCAGGAGGAACACCGAUGGCGAAGGCAGCUCGCUGGGACGAUACUGACGCUGAGCGCGAAAGCGUGGG
rnacentral:rRNA from 1 species